rnacentral:rRNA from 1 species
UAUAAAUGUAAAUUUGCAUAUACUAGAUAAUUAAUAGAUAUGAUCUUUAAAAUUAAAAAAUUUGGCGGUAUUUUAGUCUAUUCAGAGGAACCUGCCCUAUAAUUGAUAGUCCACGAUUUAAAGUACUUAUUUUGAUUAGUUUGUAUACCGUCGUAGUUUGAAUAUUUUAGGAGAAAUAAAAUAUUCGAGAAUUUUUUAUUAAAAAGAAAUCAGAUCAAGGUGCAGCUUAUAAAUAAGAAGAGGUGGGUUACAUUAAAGUUAUUUAUAUUUGGGAUAAUUAAUGAAGUAUUAGUUAUUAAAGUGGAUUUGAUAGUAAUUUUAAUUAUUUAAUUAUAAUGAUUUAGCUCUAAAAUAUGC